AGCGAACGCUGGCGGCAGGCCUAACACAUGCAAGUCGAACGAACCUUUCGGGGUUAGUGGCGGACGGGUGAGUAACACGUUGGAACGUGCCUUUAGGUUCGGAAUAACUCAGGGAACCUUGUGCUAAUACCGAAUGUGCCCUUCGGGGGAAAGAUUUAUCGCCUUUAGAGCGGCCCGCGUCUGAUUAGCUAGUUGGUUGAGGUAAUGGCUCACCAAGGCGACGAUCAGUAGCUGGUCUGAGAGGAUGAUCAGCCACAUUGGGACUGAGACACGGCCCAAACUCCUACGGGAGGCAGCAGUGGGGAAUCUUGCGCAAUGGGCGAAAGCCUGACGCAGCCAUGCCGCGUGAAUGAUGAAGGUCUUAGGAUUGUAAAAUUCUUUCACCGGGGACGAUAAUGACGGUACCCGGAGAAGAAGCCCCGGCUAACUUCGUG
rnacentral:rRNA from 1 species